AUAAGACUGGGAUAACUCCGGGAAACCGGGGCUAAUACCGGAUAACAUUUUGAACCGCAUGGUUCGAAAUUGAAAGGCGGCUUCGGCUGUCACUUAUGGAUGGACCCGCGUCGCAUUAGCUAGUUGGUGAGGUAACGGCUCAGCAGGGCAACGAUGCGUAGCCGACCUGAGAGGGUGAUCGGCCACACUGGGACUGAGACACGGCCCAGACUCCUACGGGAGGCAGCAGUAGGGAAUCUUCCGCAUGGACGAAGUCUGACGGAGCACGCCCCGUGAGUUAUGAAGGUUUUCGGGUCGUAAAAUUCUUUUGUUGGGAAAAAACAAGUGCUAUUUGAUUAGCUGCCCCCUUGACGUCCCUAACC
rnacentral:rRNA from 1 species